rnacentral:rRNA from 1 species
AUGAACGCUAGCUACAGGCUUAACACAUGCAAGUCGAGGGGUAGCACGGUCUUAGCUUGCUAAGACUGAUGGCGACCGGCGCACGGGUGAGUAACACGUAUCCAACCUGCCGUCUACUCUUGGACAGCCUUCUGAAAGGAAGAUUAAUACAAGAUGGCAUCAUGAGUCCGCAUGUUCACAUGAUUAAAGGUAUUCCGGUAGACGAUGGGGAUGCGUUCCAUUAGAUAGUAGGCGGGGUAACGGCCCACCUAGUCUUCGAUGGAUAGGGGUUCUGAGAGGAAGGUCCCCCACAUUGGAACUGAGACACGGUCCAAACUCCUACGGGAGGCAGCAGUGAGGAAUAUUGGUCAAUGGGCGAGAGCCUGAACCAGCCAAGUAGCGUGAAGGAUGACUGCCCUAUGGGUUGUAAACUUCUUUUAUAAAGGAAUAAAGUCGGGUAUGCAUACCCGUUUGCAUGUACUUUAUGAAUAAGGAUCGGCUAACUCCGUGCCAGCAGCCGCGGUAAUACGGAGGAUCCGAGCGUUAUCCGGAUUUAUUGGGUUUAAAGGGAGCGUAGAUGGAUGUUUAAGUCAGUUGUGAAAGUUUGCGGCUCAACCGUAAAAUUGCAGUUGAUACUGGAUAUCUUGAGUGCAGUUGAGGCAGGCGGAAUUCGUGGUGUAGCGGUGAAAUGCUUAGAUAUCACGAAGAACUCCGAUUGCGAAGGCAGCCUGCUAAGCUGCAACUGACAUUGAGGCUCGAAAGUGUGGGUAUCAAACAGGAUUAGAUACCCUGGUAGUCCACACGGUAAACGAUGAAUACUCGCUGUUUGCGAUAUACUGCAAGCGGCCAAGCGAAAGCGUUAAGUAUUCCACCUGGGGAGUACGCCGGCAACGGUGAAACUCAAAGGAAUUGACGGGGGCCCGCACAAGCGGAGGAACAUGUGGUUUAAUUCGAUGAUACGCGAGGAACCUUACCCGGGCUUAAAUUGCAGAUGAAUUACGGUGAAAGCCGUAAGCCGCAAGGCAUCUGUGAAGGUGCUGCAUGGUUGUCGUCAGCUCGUGCCGUGAGGUGUCGGCUUAAGUGCCAUAACGAGCGCAACCCUUGUUGUCAGUUACUAACAGGUUCCGCUGAGGACUCUGACAAGACUGCCAUCGUAAGAUGUGAGGAAGGUGGGGAUGACGUCAAAUCAGCACGGCCCUUACGUCCGGGGCUACACACGUGUUACAAGGGGGGGUACAGAGGGCCGCUACCACGCGAGUGGAUGCCAAUCCCCAAAACCUCUCUCAGUUCGGACUGGAGUCUGCAACCCGACUCCACGAAGCUGGAUUCGCUAGUAAUCGCGCAUCAGCCACGGCGCGGUGAAUACGUUCCCGGGCCUUGUACACACCGCCCGUCAAGCCAUGGGAGCCGGGGGUACCUGAAGUGCGUAACCGCGAGGAGCGCCCUAGGGUA